UACGGGGGGAGCAAGCGUUGUUCGGAAUUACUGGGCGUAAAGGGCUCGUAGGCGGCCAACUAAGUCAGACGUGAAAUCCCUCGGCUUAACCGGGGAACUGCGUCUGAUACUGGAUGGCUUGAGAUUGGGAGAGGGAUGCGGAAUUCCAGGUGUAGCGGUGAAAUGCGUAGAUAUCUGGAGGAACACCGGUGGCGAAGGCGGCAUCCUGGACCAAUACUGACGCUGAGUGAGCGAAAGCCAGGGGAGCAAACGGG
rnacentral:rRNA from 1 species